CUAUUGUCGCACCUCCUCUCUCUCUGUCCUUAUUCUAGUUCAGUAAAUUAGGCCUACAACAAUGUAUUUGUUGCUUUUAUUCUUUCAGGUUUUUCAUCCACUUUUGGUGUGCCUUUGGCUCUGCCGCUGUAUACAAAAUACAGAUUGAUGUGGGUUGUACAUGUAGAAUGUGGAAUAUAUAAAAGUGUGGGAUGUUAGGGUAGUAUGAAAAGUACGAGAAGUGUAUUAAAAUGAAUUUAAUUGAAAAAUAGUUUUAGAAAGUAUUCAGUAUAUGAAUUGUAUUUAAAACGUGAAUAAAACAACCAUCGAAUAAUUAACUAUCCAAUUGACUUGCAUUUUACUUUUGAUUUCUAUGCAUUUUACUUUGCAUAGGAAGCUCUUGCUUAAUGUAGAACAUGGAUUUGGAUCCCAUCCAAAUUCAAAUGGUGGGGAUCCUAGGAAUCCUUACAUCCUAGCCGUUCAUCAUAUAUCGUGCGGUCAUAAAUCAUUUUAAUUUUUUUAUUUAAAAUUACACACAAAUAGUAUAUGACAAAAACUGACUGCACAAUGUACAAUGAAUGACUAGGAUGUGAAGAUCCCUAGAAUCUCCACCAUUUGAAUCCGGAUGGGAUCCUCAUCCGUAGAACAUAAUCGUUUUUCCUUGUAUAA
rnacentral:lncRNA from 1 species